AGUGAACGCUGGCGGCAGGCCUAACACAUGCAAGUCGAACGGCAGCACAGUAAUAGCUUGCUCUUACGGGUGGCGAGUGGCGGGCGGGUGAGGAAUACAUCGGAAUCUACUUUUUCGUGGGGGAUAACGUAGGGAAACUUACGCUAAUACCGCAUACGACCUACGGGUGAAAGCAGGGGAUCUUCGGACCUUGCGCGAUUGAAUGAGCCGAUGUCGGAUUAGCUAGUUGGCGGGGUAAAGGCCCACCAAGGCGACGAUCCGUAGCUGGUCUGAGAGGAUGAUCAGCCACACUGGAACUGAGACACGGUCCAGACUCCUACGGGAGGCAGCAGUGGGGAAUAUUGGACAAUGGGCGCAAGCCUGAUCCAGCCAUACCGCGUGGGUGAAGAAGGCCUUCGGGUUGUAAAGCCCUUUUGUUGGGAAAGAAAAGCAGCAGGUUAAUACCCCGCUGUUCUGACGGUACCCAAAGAAUAAGCACCGGCUAACUUCGUG
rnacentral:rRNA from 1 species